AGCGAACGCUGGCGGCAGGCUUAACACAUGCAAGUCGAGCGGGCAUCCUUGUGGUGUCAGCGGCAGACGGGUGAGUAACGCGUGGGAACGUGCCCUUCGGUUCGGAAUAACUCAGGGAAACUUGAGCUAAUACCGGAUACGUGCGAGAGCAGAAAGGUUUAUCUGCCGAAGGAUCGGCCCGCGUCUGAUUAGCUAGUUAGUGAGGUUAUGGCUCACCAAGGCGACGAUCAGUAGCUGGUCUGAGAGGAUGAUCAGCCACACUGGGACUGAGACACGGCCCAGACUCCUACGGGAGGCAGCAGUGGGGAAUAUUGGACAAUGGGGGCAACCCUGAUCCAGCCAUGCCGCGUGAGUGAUGACGGCCUUAGGGUUGUAAAGCUCUUUUCUCCGGGACGAUAAUGACGGUACCGGAGGAAUAAGCCCCGGCUAACUUCGUG
rnacentral:rRNA from 1 species